AGUCAUAACAUCUUUCAGGGAUACCAAUAUGAAGACGUUUGUAAUUCUCGCUUUGUUAUUCUGCAUUUUCGGAUCUGUUCAUGAAUUUUCAGGCUGCGUUGAAGGUGCAGCUAUCAACAGUGCUACUCACAAUGAUUUCUUUCCUGGGUGUUGUUUUGACUGUCGUCCAGGAUGCACGUGCUGUAUAGAAGAUGUCUUUGGAUUUCAAGAAAACUAGUUAUUUGAAGUCUUUGAUUUGAAAUAAAAAUAGAUGCAAAAUA